rnacentral:lncRNA from 1 species
CCCACUCGCACUAUCAUUUUCCAUGUUCAAUGGACCGUGAAAUUUGAUAAAAAAAAUAUAAUUAGGCAUUAAAAUUAGACAGAUAAUAUCAUAGGGAACAUGUGUACUAAGUUUCAAGUUGAUUGGACUUCAACUUCAUCAAAAACUACCUUGACCAAAAACUUUAACCUGAAACAUGCACUUUCAUUUUCUAUGUUCAGUAGACCGUGAAAUUGGGGUCAAAAGUUUAAUUU